rnacentral:lncRNA from 1 species
UCUAAGUUCCAAACUAGGAUGAAAUCGACUUAAAAGCAAAAUCGAAUAAAGAUUAGACAAGUUUGUGGGUACUUAUAAUUAUUUUGUCUGCAAAAUGUUUUUAGAAUCCUUACCUGUAGAAAACUUUCAAGCCUUUCACGCUUUGCUAUUUCUUUAAGCAAGUUGCAUACACCAUCAUAUUGGUUGACAGAUCCCGGCAACUGCAUGAAACCAUUUUGUUGGAGUUUUACAAUCUAAAUACUACAUAAUGCCAAACCCGCAAACUCGAAGACAAGAAAACUGAAACUAGCAAGAUUAAGAGUGAUGGCCAAACUGCCUCUCUCUAUAAGACUAGCAAAUGAAUAACUAGCCAGAGUUUGAUAUCUCGUUUUGAAAACACAUACUCAAGCCCGUACGAGCUUUUCAACAAUUUUUAUUUCAAGAACUAACUUAGUCAAUCUAGGCAUUUGCAUCCCAUCCAUGCGAGCCAUACCAGGCUGCCCAAAAGGGAGCCAGGCAAGGCCACUUCUAAGUGGUAUUGUUCUUGUUGGGUUUGUGACCCAAUUUCAGUCUAGUGUGAUUUGGAGCAAUGAUUUUGAAGAUAUCAAAAUUAUGGAUCGAAAAGAAAAGUCUCUACAUUUUCACUUCCCCUGUUGUUAGCUUGCCGCUCGAGCAGUAGACGAACUUUUGGAGAAGAAGCUAUCGCCUG